rnacentral:rRNA from 1 species
UACGUAGGGUGCGAGCGUUUAAUCGGAAUUACUGGGCGUAAAGCGUGCGUAGGCGGUUCGUUAAGUUCGUUGUGAAAGCCCCGGGCUCAACCUGGGAACUGCAAUGGAAACUGGCGGGCUUGAGUGUGGCAGAGGGGGGUGGAAUUCCACGUGUAGCAGUGAAAUGCGUAGAGAUGUGGAGGAACACCGAUGGCGAAGGCAGCCCCCUGGGCUAACACUGACGCUCAUGCACGAAAGCGUGGGGAGCAAACAGG